GAAAACAGAGGUGGGGGUGUCUGGUGAAGUGGACCUUGCUGCCUGCCUAACAGACGAACUGCACCUGCCUGGGAGCCCUACCUCUUCAGUAUCUCCCCCAAACACGCCCAGACACCUAAGCAGAUAGGAAUGUCAAGAUCUUCAGUGAAAACUGUUUUGGUGAUGGAAGACAGCCACCAGGAAACCCUGCCGAAAGAAUGGGUCAGAUCAAUAAUCUGAGCGGUCCCAGUCCUCCUCCAAUGGCUGAUGGAUGAGGAAGGAAGUCACUCUGAAAACUCAGGUUUACACAACAUCUACUUGUACAAUCAAGCACACACUCUCAGGCUGCAUGAAGUACUGUCGCAGACAGGACUGCAAACCCUCUCAGGGCCCUGGGGUUCCCCUAAACCAGACCGUGAGCCUCUUGAGACGGCGGAUCCCCAACAGUGCCCAGAACCUGGGAAGGAG
rnacentral:lncRNA from 1 species